CCUACGGGGGGCUGCAGUGGGGAAUAUUGGACAAUGGGGGGAACCCUGAUCCAGCCAUGCCGCGUGUGUGAAGAAGGCCCUCGGGUUGUAAAGCACUUUCAGUGAGGAAGAACGCCUGGUGGUUAAUACCCAUCAGGAAAGACAUCACUCACAGAAGAAGCACCGGCUCACUCCGUGCCAGCAGCCGCGGUAAUACGGAGGGUGCGAGCGUUAAUCGGAAUUACUGGGCGUAAAGCGCGCGUAGGUGGCUUGAUAAGCCGGUUGUGAAAGCCCCGGGCUCAACCUGGGAACGGCAUCCGGAACUGUCAAGCUAGAGUGCAGGAGAGGAAGGUAGAAUUCCCGGUGUAGCGGUGAAAUGCGUAGCGAUCGGGAGGAAUACCAGUGGCGAAGGCGGCCUUCUGGACUGACACUGACACUGAGGUGCGAAAGCGUGGGCAGCAAACAGGAUUAGAUACCCCAGUAGUC
rnacentral:rRNA from 1 species